rnacentral:rRNA from 1 species
AGUGAACGCUGGCGGUAGGCCUAACACAUGCCAGUCGAACGGCAGCACAGUAAGAGCUUGCUCUUACGGGUGGCGAGUGGCGGACGGGUGAGGAAUACAUCGGAAUCUACUUUUUCGUGGGGGAUAACGUAGGGAAACUUACGCUAAUACCGCAUACGACCUACGGGUGAAAGCAGGGGAUCUUCGGACCUUGCGCGAUUGAAUGAGCCGAUGUCGGAUUAGCUAGUUGGCGGGGUAAAGGACCACCAAGGCGACGAUCCGUAGCUGGUCUGAGAGGAUGAUCCGCCACACUGGAACUGAGACACGGUCCAGACUCCUACGGGAGGCAGCAGUGGGGAAUAUUGGACAAUGGGCGCAAGCCUGAUCCAGCCAUACCGCGUGGGUGAAGAAGGCCUUCGGGUUGUAAAGCCCUUUUGUUGGGAAAGAAAAGCAGCAGGUUAAUACCCCGCUGUUCUGACGGUACCCAAAGAAUAAGCACCGGCUAACUUCGUG